AACGCGAAGAACCUUACCUGGCCUUGACAUCCACGGAACUUUCCAGAGAUGGAUUGGUGCUUCGGGAACCGUGAGACAGGUGCUGCAUGGCUGUCGUCAGCUCGUGUCGUGAGAUGUUGGGUUAAGUCCCGCAACGAGCGCAACCCUUGUCCCUAGUUGCCAGCACGUAAUGGUGGGAACUCUAGGGAGACCGCCGGUGACAAACCGGAGGAAGGUGGGGAUGACGUCANGUCNUCAUGGCCCUUACGGCCAGGGCUACACACGUACUACAAUGGAAAGGACAGAGGGCUGCGANCCCGCGAGGGUGAGCCAAUCCCAGAAACCUUUUCUCAGUCCGGAUUGGAGUCUGC
rnacentral:rRNA from 1 species